GUGUGGCGUCUUUCUGAACUCCCUCGACCAUCCGAGCUUCCAUAAUACCAUCCGGACUUCUCCGACAAUGAGCUUCUCCAUUCAUCUACCGAACUGCUCCAAAUGCUCUCUGGGCUUCACUAUCAGUUGAUUUUCUGUAGUGAUCGACUAUUCUCCAAACCCCUUCUAGACUUCUUCCGACCACGGAUGACUCUACUCCGAACUUCUUUCAGACUUCGUCAAUAUCCGAGCUUCUCUGAUAAUUGAAUUUCUACAGUAACCAGACUCCAUCCAAGUUUCUACAAUGGUCGACCACCUUCUGGAUUCCAUCCGAGCUCCUACGAGAACCAGAUUUCAGCCGAACUCCUACAAUGGAUGGAUCCCAGACGAAUUUCGACAAUGGAAGGGCUCCACCAGUC
rnacentral:lncRNA from 1 species